CGCAGAGAUUGGCCUAACAGCUGGAAGAGCGUCUUGCAAAUGUAUGCACGGACAACCCGGCAUCCAGGGAUCUCCAGGGCCAAAGGGUCACAUAGGUCUUCUAGGAAAAGUCGGAGACCAAGGAAGACAAGGAAACUGGGGGAUCCGGGGGAACACAGGAGAUUAUGGUAACAUUGGCGACACAGGCCUAAAGGGUGAAGAAGGAAUCAAAGGGGAAAAUGGAAUGAGAGGACUCUGGGGCCAAGUGG